CCUUUACGGGUCAUGCGCGCGCCUAUAUAACCGGCGUUUUGCGGCGAAAACAGCUGAUCGCAAUCCAACAGCUGAUCGGGAAAUGUUUUAAAGUGACUAAAAACUUUUUAAAAUUCUUAAAACUUUUUUUCAUAACUAAUCAUCAAAAGAAACUAAGACUAAAAAUGGAACUUACAAAAACACUAGUAUGUUGCACAUUGGUGCUGAUGAUUUUGACAGAGGUGGUGAUAUGUAGACCGACACACUCCGGUAAAGAAUCGGAACUUGAGGCAUUAGUUAAAGACAUUGACCAGCGGUUAAUCAGAAGUGAACACAAAAGUUCCCGGCGGAGGCGCCGGCAUGUUGCCACACAGCGAUUGGCUAUACUGGAACAUUGCCUGAGAAACCCAUACACUUGCCGAGCGGAAGUAGAGCGCAUGCGAAGGCUUCAGAGGAGGAAUAGAGAUUUCCGUGUGAUAGUGAUCGAAAAAUAACAUUAACAUUGGAGCCGUGGCAACGAAAUGGUAAUUCCGAGGACAGUAAUCGAUUCGAGGGAGAAUUUCACCUGAAGUGACGUUUUUGUGUUCCUUUACACGAAGUGAUGAUCUCAUAAGCUAACGAAAUCAACCGCAUUUAAACUUUACUCAUUGGUGAACUACUUUUUGGUGAACUACUUUUUCUAUUGAUAUUCAUGCGUGUGUAACUUUGUUAAAAAUGAGACAAUAGCUUUAAUACCCACAGUAAUGUGACUUAUAAAUAAAUAUUUAAUAAAAAACUAACAAAAAACAAUAUUUGGAAAUGCAUGGAGUUCUUCGCAAGUUCCUGUAGAAGAUAAGAAGAGCAAAAAACUACAAUCAAAAUAAGUGAAUAUUGAAACAUCGGAACUGUAAAGAGAAGGUUCUAUUGUGUACAAAAUAUGACAGGUGAAGAAGGGUUUGCAUGAUAAUUGUACAAAAAAUUAACAGUUGUCAACAGUUAUUCAAGCACCUCCUUUAUUUAAAAAUAACAGUAACAAUAUGAGUAUUUUAGCAUGAGAUCAACAUGAAUUUGGUUCAUUGGUCAAUGGCCAUUCUAAUCAAUCCAAUGUAGAAAUUUAAAACUUUUAAACCAAUGUCUUCUUUAUAUUGUAGGACUUCUUUUGUUUUUACUUUUAUUUGAGACAACACUCAUGCAAUCCUUUUUUAUGACCCAGAGCACCAUCCAUCAACAUUUCGUGCAAAUUCGGCAAACUUCGGAACUUUCGAUAUCCUACCUCGAAGAUGAAACGAGCGCUCACAUGUUACUUUUAAAUCGCGGAAAGUGGCGACAAAUGCCCUAAUAUGCAAAAAAGCUGCCGGAAAGUGGCGAUAUAUUCCGAAUUUGUACGAACUAAUGAUGGGUAAGCUGAAGAAAUGAGAGCUAUCGGAGAAUUGUGAUAGCCAUGCAGGAACUUAAAACUAGCGUUACUACAAAUGUGUCACGUAAUAAUUUCCGUUUCCACGACAAUGUCUAUUUCUUUCGUGAGUUGUCAUGGUUACAAAGUUAUGUAUGUGACAGACAUGUGUGAUAUACAUGUGGCAUCUUGAGAUCAUAGGGCUUUGCUUAUAAGGGUCUCGGUUGUUUUUUUAUUAAUAAGAUAUUCAAAACAGAAAUCGUAACGUAUGUUCCAUUAUUUAUAAUUUAUUAUGCUGUACAAUGAACCCAGAGUUGGAGAUAAACUUAAUGUAUCUUAGCUUUUUACAAAAAAAUACUGAGACCCCUAUUAACAGCUUUAUAUUUAUGUUAAAUUUUGUGUUUAUAUGUGUUCUCUGAUACUUCAUAUAUGCAGGUUUUGACACACAAAGCUAUAUACAAUAUUUAGCAUCAAGCAGUUAGCUGCGUAUGGUUUAGAUGAUCGUAUAUAUGCGUAUUUUCUAGCACGACUGACCUAUUAUUCAAAAGGGUAUUCUUCACUACAAAUGAUUUCCGAAAUAAACAUACUGCAUAUGUGAAGUUUUAGUUUCCAUGCCUUUAUAUGUAUUUUUGUAUGUACUGUAAAUUUCGUAUAACAUCUUCAUACACAACAUUAUGGCAUAAAAUAAAAGAUGUUCAGUUAAUUGUAAAGUAUGUUCGAGUGUGUGUGUGUCUUGUGAUGUUGUGAUGUAUUUAUGUUUUAGAUGCCGAUUUGCAGUAACGCGAACCCGUUUUUUUAAUUUGUUUAAUGUUUUGUACGUUAUGAUUUUUAAGAUGAAAAUCCCUUUAUUGUUUAACAAAACAAAAUCUGCGAAUUCCAUUAUCGUUAACGUAUUUUGUGUGUGUGUAACUUUUGUUGGUUUUGUUUGUUUGUUUGUUGUUGUUUUGUUUUCGUUUUUUUGGUUUACUCUGUGUUUUUUAUUUGUUCGUUUUUUUUCCAUAUCGUAAUUUUACCGAUAUAUUUUCAGUAACGAUUGUUACUCUAGAUAUGCGUUACAUACUUUACUAUAUGUUUUACGUUACGUUGUUUUGUGUAUAGGUAACUCCCCAGUGUCUGUGUAUGUACACCGGUCUGUGUUUGUUUCAGGGCGUUAGUUUAUCGUUUUUGUUGUAUGUUUAAAAAAUUGUUAUAUCUAUAGGGCAGUGUCGAAAGAAAAGGAAAUGAAAGCACUUAAGUGUACCAAAUAUAUAGAUAAAGAAUGUGUGUUCAUAUGUUUUUAACUAGUGAAUUUGAUGAUUACAUGUAUAAAGUUAUGGAAUAUUUAUGUUAUUGAGAUCACUUUUACGGGAGGAAAAUAAAUGUUUAAAAGUGAGAUUGAUAUACCAAAUACUGAAUGAUAAGUUCAUGUAUGGAAUGUUCACGUUAAAUGUAUGAAAUGUACGAGUAAAUAUACGUAAGUCUAUUUAUAAGUCUAUGUACUUAAUACAGAGAGGACAAAUCGUCCAAUGUGUCUUAAGUUUUUUUCAAUUUAAAAAAUAGUUUAUGUAAAAUGUUAAUAACCUAAUCCGAUUUAACAUGGUGUUUUUCAGUAUAUGUAGAGUAAGUAAUGUACAUGUAUAAAAAAAUUCAUCCAACUUGAAUUUUUGGUCUAUUUUCUAUUAUUUUAUGAAGCAGCUUAAAAAGAUAUGAACUUUUUGCACUCAUUUUACUUGUCGAGCGUAUGUAAGAAAAAACUUUACUAAAAACUUGACACGAAAUAGGUCAUAAUAUUAGCGUAUAAAGUUUAAAGAUUGACCAUUUUUUAUCGAUUCAUUCAGUCAUUUUGUCUGAAAUUGAGAUCGAUUAUGUUUUAUACCUUGCCAUAAUCCCUUCUUUAUUCCAUUGUAUGAUUUAAGUACGAGAUUAUAACAUUUGUAAAUUCAUCACAUUAACUGCAUUCACUAUUUUUAAAAUCGGUGCGCAUGCGUGUCUAAAUGCUUUGCCGAAUGAGUCUGUUUUUAGUAAAAUGUUUUUAUCAAUGUUUAAGAUUUUUUUUAUUUAGGUACUGAUUGAAACAAUGGUUGAUAUCAGAAAAAGCCAUUUAUGUACUUUUGUCCCUGGUUACGAAAAUUAAAGUUUCGUAGGUCUUUGAAUUAAGUAAGAAAUUAUGUCCAUUAUUGUAUUCCGUAUUUUUAUAUCAAUGGAAUACAUGCUAUAUUAUGGUAAUGUUCUUGAUAAUGAUAAGAAAAAAAUAAUAUUAUAUUACAUGCGAUUCUUAUCACGAGCUAUGUUUAUCAUGGUGUUCCAUAUUGUAUUCCGUAAUUUUGGUAUGAUUUUUUUUAUAUAUAUCUUAUUUGUUUUGUUUUGUUCAGAUAUGACUUAGUUUCGUUUUAGUGAAAUAUAUAAUGUGCAUUAUUAUGUAAAAUGCUAGGAUUUUCAAAUUAAAUGGCCAGAUUUGUAUUUACACGAUCCUGUCCUUCUAUGAAGGCAGAUAAAUAUUGUUUAAGAAAAUGAACUAUAUUUUGAAUAAAAUCGUUAAAAUAAAUGAUGA